CAGAUAAUCUGUCCAUGUCAUACA
rnacentral:siRNA from 1 species